rnacentral:tmRNA from 1 species
GGGGCUGCAACGGUUUCGACGUUUUGGCGAACACUACAGUGUGAUUCAGGCUGAGAGCGAGCUAACUCUCAUAAAUCAAUGGCUCAAAACAACGUACAUGCGAACAACAUCGUACCCUUUGCUCGUAAGCAAGCACUUGUUGCUGCCUAACAACCUCUAACUGGUUCGAGCGUUUCCCAUACGACUCCGUUAAGUAUGGGAGACAACCCCCAACGGAUGCUCUAGGAAGCUUUCUCUGGUAGGCUUUCUAGCUAAGAAAUUAUCAGAGAAUCCCACCGUCCGGGACAAGGGACGGUUCCCGCUUCGAGGAUCAGAGAAGCUAAGCCUGUGAAUGAGCGAUGUACCAAUACCCAGGGCGGACACGGGUUCGACUCCCGUCAGCUCCACUU